UACAGAGGGUGCGAGCGUUAAUCGGAAUUACUGGGCGUAAGGCGCGCGUAGGCGGCUUUGCAAGCCGGAUGUGAAAUCCCCGGGCUUAACCUGGGAACUGCAUUCGGGACUGCAUUGCUAGAGUAUGGGAGAGGGAAGUGGAAUUUCAGGUGUAGCGGUGAAAUGCGUAGAUAUCUGAAGGAACAUCAGUGGCGAAAGCGACUUCCUGGACCAAUACUGACGCUCAUGUGCGAAAGCGUGGGGAGCAAACAGG
rnacentral:rRNA from 1 species